GCCCGGGUGGCUUAGCUGGACAUAGCGCCGCACUCAUAGGGUUUCUGAGAUUCGGUGCGGUAACGCCUUGGAAGCUUCCGCGUGCAAUCGGGGCCCGCCGAGCCUCGAACCUGAGUCAUGCGGAGAUCGCGGGUUCGGAGCCCGCCCCGGGCA
rnacentral:tRNA from 1 species